rfam:Gossypium hirsutum cultivar TM-1 chromosome 10, whole genome shotgun sequence
UAUUAAAAAUUUCAUCCAUUUCUACCGUUAAAAAUUGAUGUAACUAACAGAACAAUCAAACAAUGACACAUGGAUGUUGUGUGUACAUCAUGCUAACAUACAAAACCAAUCAUUAAUAAUAGAAAUGGAUGGAUUUUUUAACA